AGAUGCUUAACUGACUGAGCCACGAAGACUCUUACCGCUAUGUUCCUUUCUGAGAAGACAGAUUAUGUGGACAGAAACCAUUCAGGCAACCCAAGAUGUUCCUCACAAGCCUCCAUUAUUGAAGAAGUCCUGGAAUGGAAAGAGGAAGUUCACUUCUGAUACCUGUG